AUGAUCAUUCAGAGCUGCCCGAGGUUGGUCUUGGAAAUCCUGGUAUAUUUUCUCAUGCAACACAUUUCAACACACACCCCAAUACUUGGCAGCACCCAUGGCAGCACCUCCCUCCUUGGGCAGCCUCCAUCCACGGGCAGCACCCCCUCCACCUGGCUCACUGCACUCAUGCCUGCUGGCCAUUGGUUUUCAUCCUUGAAAUUGCUACGUUCUCUCCGGGCUGAGGUCCUUCAUGCACAGAGCAACCUCUGCCCGGCAAGCCCCUCUCCCCGCACACACCAGCCUCGUCACCACCUCCUGCUCUUUCCUCCCACCGCCCUCAGCAUAACUGACGAUUACAAGUGGACUUGUUUACUGAAGACCCAAAGGACAGGAAGCAGAGCACCCGUUAAUACACAGUUCACCAGACUGGAUAAAAACACAACCGAGCUAUAGGCUGUUCACAAGAGACACAGCUAAAAUACAAGGAAGAUCUAGCAAGUUCAAGAGGAAAGGAUUCAAAGAGCGCAUGCAAACACUAACCAAGAGAAAGCUAGUACUGCUCUAUUAAUAUUAGAUACUGUGUUUUAGGAUGAAAGCAGAAUCAGAACUAUCGUAGUUCAUAAUGAAAAGUUUAACAUACCAGAAAGAUGCAGUAAUUCUUUAUAUGCCCAAAGUAUAAAGCGGGUCGGACGAGAUUAAGAUGGCAGAGUCGAAGGACCAGAGCUCACCUUCUGUCAUAAAAGCAACAAAAUUACAACCAACUGCUGAACAACCUUCAACAAAACAGUCUGGAAACCAUCCAAAAAGAUGUCCUACUCCAGAAGACAAAGAGGAGGCCACACUGAGAUGGUAAGAGGGCCAUUCUGUGGUAUAAGCAACCCCAUGCCAGCCGGGUGGGCAGCCCACAGCCUAGAAAGGCACUGUAUCGCAGAGGCUCACC
rnacentral:lncRNA from 1 species